rnacentral:rRNA from 1 species
AUUGAAUGCUGGCGGCAUGCCUUACACAUGCAAGUCGAACGGUAACGCGGGGCAACCUGGCGACGAGUGGCGAACGGGUGAGUAAUGUAUCGGAACGUGCCCAGUUGUGGGGGAUAACUGCUCGAAAGAGCAGCUAAUACCGCAUACGACCUGAGGGUGAAAGCGGGGGAUCGCAAGACCUCGCGCAAUUGGAGCGGCCGAUAUCAGAUUAGGUAGUUGGUGAGGUAAAGGCUCACCAAGCCGACGAUCUGUAGCUGGUCUGAGAGGAGCACCAGCCACACUGGGACUGAGACACGGCCCAGACCCCUACGGGAGGCAGCAGUGGGGAAUUUUGGACAAUGGACGCAAGUCUGAUCCAGCCAUGCCGCGUGCGGGAAGAAGGCCUUCGGGUUGUAAACCGCUUUUGUCAGGGAAGAAACGCUCUGGGUUAAUACCCCGGGGUAAUGACGGUACCUGAAGAAUAAGCACCGGCUAACUACGUGCCAGCCGCCGCGGUAACAC